AGAGUCUCUGUCUGUCACCUAGGCUAGAGUACAGUGGCAAGAUCUUGGCUCACUGCAACCUCCGCCUCUGGAUCCAAAUGAUUCUCCUGCCUCAGCCUCCCUAGUAGCUGGUACUACAGCGUUUUUGGCUUGCUCUUCUUCCUGCCUGGAACGUUCACCUCCCUGAUUCUCACAUUGCUGGCCAAUUUCAUCCUUCAGGUCUCAGCUCAAAUACAGUAUCUUUAAGGAUGCCGGAGAUACAGGAGUGCUGGGAAGGCAAGACCAUGGUCCCUUUAAAUGAUACGGGAGUGCUGGGUAGAGGAAGGGUGUGGUCCCUGGCUAGGGCUCCACCCCCACCGACCUAGAUGAGGACCUGGCACUCCUGCCUGCACGCCCAAAUGUUGUAUUUCCCAAGACCAUCCUGGCCCACCACGGCCCCAUCCUGUGACUAUAAAAACCUGAGACUCUAGCAAGGCAAAGACCGAAACGACUGGACGUGUAGAGGAGCGGAUCAGCAGAAGAAGAUAGAGGCAGGGGGAUGUCAAAUGCAGCAUAUCAGCGUAGGAACACACAGGCCGUUGAAGCGAGAGAGGAGCACAUCAAUGAAAGAAGGCACAAGCAUCUGGAUGGCGAGAGGAUGUUGAGGGGAGCAUGGCAGCUGAAGAGCACACCGACAGGACACACGCCGGCACUGUCCCGGUGGGAGUGGGAUGAGGCGGAGUUUGGUGGGGGCAGUGGGAGGAGAGCCCUGGCCGUGGAGUGCCCCAACUCCAGGGGAAAACCAUCUCCCUUCUGGCUCCCCCAUCUGCUGAGAGCUACUUCCACUCAAUAAAAGCUUGCACUCAUUCUCCAAGCCCACAUGUGAUCCUAUUCUUUCGGUACACAAAGGCGAGAAACCCCGGGAUACAGAAAGCCCUCUGUCCUUGAGAUGAGGUAGAGGGUCUAAUUGAGCUGGUUAACACAAGCCUAUAGAUGGCACACUAAGAGAGCAUCCUGUAACACACGCCCACUGGGGCUUCAGCUGUAAACAUUCACCCCUAGACACUGUUGUAGGGUGGGAGCCCCACAGCCUGCCGUCUGUAUGCUCCUCUAGAGGUCUGAGCAGUGGGGCACUGGAGAGCCACACCCACAUCGCAUGCCCUGCCGGGGGACUACUGAACCUUUCCCGUUUCACUAGCAUAUACAAUAUAACCCUCUGGCCUAUCGCUUUAACACAUUUCCUCAGAGCGUUCAACAUCAUCUGUUAAAUACUUGUAUUAUAAUAUUUUAUCUCUUUAUUUCUUUUGCUUUAUAAAAUAAAUUGCUUAUCUUUUCGGUAAUCCCCUGUAUCCCUGAUGCUUCGAUCAAUGCCUAACAUAUAUUGAAUUAAUAUUAAUUGAUGAAAUAAAUGGAUAAACACACUCCUUCCUGAGUAUGAAUAUAUCUUAACUGUAUCACAUAACUUUUUUCACAUUCUUCCUUGCCUCAACGGUUUGCAUAUAUUUCACGUAGGUCACUUAUCACUAUCGGGAUUUAUGUAAUUUAAAAAUCUCCUCCAUUAAAUUGCAAAUUUCUUGGCAACUGGAUUUUCUUAUAUUCAUUUGUUAAAAUUUGCAUGCCUUUAAGACAUACAUAUACUAACUGCUCAAAUAAUAUUAUUUAAAUGAAUGGAUGUAAAUUAUACUAAGGGCAAGUUUAAGAAUUAUUAUUUCCUUUUUACCCAGAAGCUUAAAAACAUUUCAUUUUCUAAAAUUCUAUGAGAAGGCAUAUAUAUGAUUAUAGCACUGGCC
rnacentral:lncRNA from 10 species